rnacentral:rRNA from 1 species
UACGAAGGGUGCAAGCGUUAAUCGGAAUUACUGGGCGUAAAGCGUGCGUAGGCGGUUUGUUAAGUCUGUUGUGAAAUCCCCGGGCUCAACCUGGGAAUGGCAAUGGAUACUGGCAAGCUAGAGUGUGUCAGAGGAUGGUGGAAUUCCCGGUGUAGCGGUGAAAUGCGUAGAGAUCGGGAGGAACAUCAGUGGCGAAGGCGGCCAUCUGGGACAACACUGACGCUGAAGCACGAAAGCGUGGGGAGCAAACAGG